GACGAACCGUGCGAACGUUAUUCGGAAUCAUUGGGCUUAAAGGGCGCGUAGACGGACGACCGCGUCGAGUGCUGAAAUCCCCCGGCUCAACCGGGGAACGGGCCCUCGAAACGGGUCGUCUCGAGUGGAGGAGGGGGACCUGGGAACGUCCGGUGGAGCGGUGAAAUGCGUUGAGAUCGGACGGAACGCCGACGGCGAAAGCAAGGUCCUGGACUCCGACUGACGUUGAGGCGCGAAAGCCAGGGGAGCGAACGGG
rnacentral:rRNA from 1 species